rnacentral:rRNA from 1 species
GACGGAGGAGGCAAGCGUUAUCCGGAAUCAUUGGGCGUAAAGCGUCCGUAGGUGGCCCCUCAAGUCUGCUGUUAAAGCCCAGGGCUCAACCCUGGAGAAGCAGUGGAAACUGGAGGGCUAGAGUGCGGUAGGGGUAGAGGGAAUUCCCGGUGUAGCGGUGAAAUGCGUAGAGAUCGGGAAGAACACCAGUGGCGAAAGCGCUCUGCUGGACCGCAACUGACACUGAGGGACGAAAGCUAGGGGAGCGAAUGGGAUUAGAUACCCCAGUAGUCCUAGCCGUAAACGAUGGACACUAGGUGUUGCGCGUAUCGACCCGUGCAGUGCCGUAGCCAACGCGUUAAGUGUCCCGCCUGGGGAGU